rnacentral:tRNA from 1 species
CGGAGUGUGGCGCAGUCUGGUAGCGCAUCUGCUUUGGGAGCAGAGGGUCGGAGGUUCGAAUCCUCUCACUCCGACCA